rnacentral:rRNA from 1 species
UAAGCGGAGGAAAAGAAACUAACAAGGAUUCCCCUAGUAACUGCGAGUGAAGCGGGAAAAGCUCAAAUUUAAAAUCUGGUGGUCUUUGGCCAUCCGAGUUGUAAUUUAGAGAAGCGUCUUCCGCGCUGGACCGUGCACAAGUCUCCUGGAAUGGAGCGUCAUAGAGGGUGAGAAUCCCGUCUUUGGCACGGAUGUACCAGGGCUUUUGUGAUGCGCUCUCGAAGAGUCGAGUUGUUUGGGAAUGCAGCUCAAAAUGGGUGGUGAACUCCAUCUAAAGCUAAAUAUUGGCGAGAGACCGAUAGCGAACAAGUACCGUGAGGGAAAGAUGAAAAGCACUUUGGAAAGAGAGUGAAACAGUACGUGAAAUUGUUGAAAGGGAAACGCUUGAAGUCAGUCGCGUCGACCGAGACUCAGCCUUGCCUCGGCUUGGUGUACUUCUCGGCUGACGGGUCAGCAUCAAUUUUGCCCCUUGGAUAAUGGCAAGGGAAAUGUGACACCUUUACGGUGUGUUAUAGUCCUUCGUCGCAUGCAAGGGUCGGGAUUGAGGAACUCAGCACGCGCCCUCGGGCGUCGGGGCUUUGCCCACGAUACGUGCUUAGGAUGUUGGCGUAAUGGCUUUAAACGA